rnacentral:rRNA from 1 species
GACGAACGCUGGCGGCGUGCCUAAUACAUGCAAGUUGAGCGCUGAAGGUUGGUACUUGUACCAACUGGAUGAGCAGCGAACGGGUGAGUAACGCGUGGGGAAUCUGCCUUUGAGCGGGGGACAACAUUUGGAAACGAAUGCUAAUACCGCAUAAAAACUUUAAACACAAGUUUUAAGUUUGAAAUAUGCAAUUGCAUCACUCAAAGAUGAUCCCGCGUUGUAUUAGCUAGUUGGUGAGGUAAAGGCUCACCAAGGCGAUGAUACAUAGCCGACCUGAGAGGGUGAUCGGCCACAUUGGGACUGAGACACGGCCCAAACUGCUACGGGAGGCAGCAGUAGGGAAUCGUCGGCAAUGGACGAAAGUCUGACCGAGCAACGCCGCGUGAGUGUAGAAGGUUUUCGGAUCGUAAAACUCUGUUGGUAGAGAAGAACGUUGGUGAGAGUGGAAAGCUCAUCAAGUGACGGUAACUACUCAGAAAGGGACGGCUAACUACGUG